UACGGAGGGAGCUAGCGUUGUUCGGAAUUACUGGGCGUAAAGCGCACGUAGGCGGCUUUGUAAGUUAGAGGUGAAAGCCCGGGGCUCAACUCCGGAACUGCCUUUAAGACUGCAUCGCUUGAAUCCAGGAGAGGUGAGUGGAAUUCCGAGUGUAGAGGUGAAAUUCGUAGAUAUUCGGAAGAACACCAGUGGCGAAGGCGGCUCACUGGACUGGUAUUGACGCUGAGGUGGCGAAAGCGUGGGGAGCAAACAGGAUUAGAAACCCCUA
rnacentral:rRNA from 1 species